rnacentral:rRNA from 1 species
UAGGGAAUCUUCGGCAAUGGGGGGAACCCUGACCGAGCAACGCCGCGUGAGUGAAGAAGGUUUUCGGAUCGUAAAGCUCUGUUGUUAAGGAAGAACGAGUGUGAGAAUGGAAAGUUCAUACUGUGACGGUACUUAACCAGAAAGGGACGGCUAACUACGUGCCAGCAGCCGCGGUAAUACGUAGGUCCUGAGCGUUGUCCGGAUUUAUUGGGCGUAAAGCGAGCGCAGGCGGUUAGAUAAGUCUGAAGUUAAAGGCAGUGGCUCAACCAUUGUAGGCUUUGGAAACUGUUUAACUUGAGUGCAGAAGGGGAGAGUGGAAUUCCAUGUGUAGCGGUGAAAUGCGUAGAUAUAUGGAGGAACACCGGUGGCGAAAGCGGCUCUCUGGUCUGUAACUGACGCUGAGGCUCGAAAGCGUGGGGAGCGAACAGG